rnacentral:rRNA from 1 species
AGCGUACACGGUGGAUGCCCUGGCAGUCAGAGGCGAUGAAGGACGUGCUAAUCUGCGAUAAGCGUCGGUAAGGUGAUAUGAACCGUUAUAACCGGCGAUUUCCGAAUGGGGAAACCCAGUGUGAUUCGUCACACUAUCAUUAACUGAAUCCAUAGGUUAAUGAGGCGAACCGGGGGAACUGGAACAUCUAAGUACCCCGAGGAAAAGAAAUCAACCGAGAUUCCCCCAGUAGCGGCGAGCGAACGGGGAGCAGCCCAGAGCCUGAAUCAGUGUGUGUGUUAGUGGAAGCGUCUGGAAAGGCGCGCGAUACAGGGUGACAGCCCCGUACACAAAAAUGCACAUGCUGUGAGCUCGAUGAGUAGGGCGGGACACGUGGUAUCCUGUCUGAAUAUGGGGGGACCAUCCUCCAAGGCUAAAUACUCCUGACUGACCGAUAGUGAACCAGUACCGUGAGGGAAAGGCGAAAAGAACCCCGGCGAGGGGAGUGAAAAAGAACCUGAAACCGUGUACGUACAAGCAGUGGGAGCACAGAGCAAUCUGUGUGACUGCGUACCUUUUGUAUAAUGGCUCAGCGACUUAUAUUCUGUAGCAAGGUUAACCGAAUAGGGGAGCCGAAGGGAACCGAGUCUUAACUGGGCGUUAAGUUGCAGGGUAUAGACCCGAAACCCGGUGAUCUAGCCAUGGGCAGGUUGAAGGUUGGGUAACACUAACUGGAGGACCGAACCGACUAAUGUUGAAAAAUUAGCGGAUGACUUGUGGCUGGGGGUGAAAGGCCAAUCAAACCGGGAGAUAGCUGGUUCUCCCCGAAAGCUAUUUAGGUAGCGCCUCGUGAAUUCAUCUCCGGGGGUAGAGCACUGUUUCGGCAAGGGGGUCAUCCCGACUUACCAACCCGAUGCAAACUGCGAAUACCGGAGAAUGUUAUCACGGGAGACACACGGCGGGUGCUAACGUCCGUCGUGAAGAGGGAAACAACCCAGACCGCCAGCUAAGGUCCCAAAGUCAUGGUUAAGUGGGAAACGAUGUGGGAAGGCCCAGACAGCCAGGAUGUUGGCUUAGAAGCAGCCAUCAUUUAAAGAAAGCGUAAUAGCUCACUGGUCGAGUCGGCCUGCGCGGAAGAUGUAACGGGGCUAAACCAUGCACCGAAGCUGCGGCAGCGACGCUUAUGCGUUGUUGGGUAGGGGAGCGUUCUGUAAGCCUGCGAAGGUGUGCUGUGAGGCAUGCUGGAGGUAUCAGAAGUGCGAAUGCUGACAUAAGUAACGAUAAAGCGGGUGAAAAGCCCGCUCGCCGGAAGACCAAGGGUUCCUGUCCAACGUUAAUCGGGGCAGGGUGAGUCGACCCCUAAGGCGAGGCCGAAAGGCGUAGUCGAUGGGAAACAGGUUAAUAUUCCUGUACUUGGUGUUACUGCGAAGGGGGGACGGAGAAGGCUAUGUUGGCCGGGCGACGGUUGUCCCGGUUUAAGCGUGUAGGCUGGUUUUCCAGGCAAAUCCGGAAAAUCAAGGCUGAGGCGUGAUGACGAGGCACUACGGUGCUGAAGCAACAAAUGCCCUGCUUCCAGGAAAAGCCUCUAAGCAUCAGGUAACAUCAAAUCGUACCCCAAACCGACACAGGUGGUCAGGUAGAGAAUACCAAGGCGCUUGAGAGAACUCGGGUGAAGGAACUAGGCAAAAUGGUGCCGUAACUUCGGGAGAAGGCACGCUGAUAUGUAGGUGAAGUCCCUCGCGGAUGGAGCUGAAAUCAGUCGAAGAUACCAGCUGGCUGCAACUGUUUAUUAAAAACACAGCACUGUGCAAACACGAAAGUGGACGUAUACGGUGUGACGCCUGCCCGGUGCCGGAAGGUUAAUUGAUGGGGUCAGCGCAAGCGAAGCUCUUGAUCGAAGCCCCGGUAAACGGCGGCCGUAACUAUAACGGUCCUAAGGUAGCGAAAUUCCUUGUCGGGUAAGUUCCGACCUGCACGAAUGGCGUAAUGAUGGCCAGGCUGUCUCCACCCGAGACUCAGUGAAAUUGAACUCGCUGUGAAGAUGCAGUGUACCCGCGGCAAGACGGAAAGACCCCGUGAACCUUUACUAUAGCUUGACACUGAACAUUGAGCCUUGAUGUGUAGGAUAGGUGGGAGGCUUUGAAGUGUGGACGCCAGUCUGCAUGGAGCCGACCUUGAAAUACCACCCUUUAAUGUUUGAUGUUCUAACGUUGACCCGUAAUCCGGGUUGCGGACAGUGUCUGGUGGGUAGUUUGACUGGGG